rnacentral:rRNA from 1 species
UGAGCAAUCUGCCCUUCUCAUCGGAAUAAGCGUUGGAAACGACGUCUAAUGCCGAAUACGACCUCCUUUCGCAUGAUCGGAGGUGGAAAGCUCCGGCGGAGAAGGAUGAACUCGCGGCCUAUCAGCUAGUUGGUGUGGGUAAUGGCCCACCAAGGCGACGACGGGUAGCCGGCCUGAGAGGGUGACCGGCCACACUGGGACUGAGACACGGCCCAGACUCCUACGGGAGGCAG